rnacentral:rRNA from 1 species
GAUGAACGCUGGCGGCGUGCCUAAUACAUGCAAGUCGAGCGAACAGACGAGGAGCUUGCUCCUCUGACGUUAGCGGCGGACGGGUGAGUAACACGUGGAUAACCUACCUAUAAGACUGGGAUAACUUCGGGAAACCGGAGCUAAUACCGGAGAAUAUAUUGAACCGCAUGGUUCAAUAGUGAAAGACGGUUUUGCUGUCACUUAUAGAUGGAUCCGCGCCGCAUUAGCUAGUUGGUAAGGUAACGGCUUACCAAGGCAACGAUGCGUAGCCGACCUGAGAGGCGGAUCGGCCACACUGGAACUGAGACACGGUCCAGACUACUACGGGAGGCAGCAGUAGGGAAUCUUCCGCAAUGGGCGAAAGCCUGACGGAGCAACGCCGCGUGAGUGAUGAAGGUCUUCGGAUCGUAAAACUCUGUUACUAGGGAAGAACAAAUGUGUAAGUAACUAUGCACGUAUUGACGGUACCUAAUCAGAAAGCCACGGCUAACUACGUG